rnacentral:rRNA from 1 species
AAAUUGAAGAGUUUGAUCAUGGCUCAGAUUGAGCGCUGGCGGCAGGCCUAACACAUGCAAGUCGAACGGUAACAGGAAUCAGCUUGCUGAUUCGCUGACGAGUGGCGGACGGGUGAGUAAUGUCUGGGAAACUGCCUGAUGGAGGGGGAUAACUACUGGAAACGGUAGCUAAUACCGCAUAACGUCGCAAGACCAAAGAGGGGGACCUUCGGGCCUCUUGCCAUCGGAUGUGCCCAGAUGGGAUUAGCUAGUAGGUGGGGUAACGGCUCACCUAGGCGACGAUCCCUAGCUGGUCUGAGAGGAUGACCAGCCACACUGGAACUGAGACACGGUCCAGACUCCUACGGGAGGCAGCAGUGGGGAAUAUUGCACAAUGGGCGCAAGCCUGAUGCAGCCAUGCCGCGUGUAUGAAGAAGGCCUUCGGGUUGUAAAGUACUUUCAGCGGGGAGGAAGGGAGUAAAGUUAAUACCUUUGCUCAUUGACGUUACCCGCAGAAGAAGCACCGGCUAACUCCGUGCCAGCAGCCGCGGUAAUACGGAGGGUGCAAGCGUUAAUCGGAAUUACUGGGCGUAAAGCGCACGCAGGCGGUUUGUUAAGUCAGAUGUGAAAUCCCCGGGCUCAACCUGGGAACUGCAUCUGAUACUGGCAAGCUUGAGUCUCGUAGAGGGGGGUAGAAUUCCAGGUGUAGCGGUGAAAUGCGUAGAGAUCUGGAGGAAUACCGGUGGCGAAGGCGGCCCCCUGGACGAAGACUGACGCUCAGGUGCGAAAGCGUGGGGAGCAAACAGGAUUAGAUACCCUGGUAGUCCACGCCGUAAACGAUGUCGACUUGGAGGUUGUGCCCUUGAGGCGUGGCUUCCGGAGCUAACGCGUUAAGUCGACCGCCUGGGGAGUACGGCCGCAAGGUUAAAACUCAAAUGAAUUGACGGGGGCCCGCACAAGCGGUGGAGCAUGUGGUUUAAUUCGAUGCAACGCGAAGAACCUUACCUGGUCUUGACAUCCACGGAAGUUUUCAGAGAUGAGAAUGUGCCUUCGGGAACCGUGAGACAGGUGCUGCAUGGCUGUCGUCAGCUCGUGUUGUGAAAUGUUGGGUUAAGUCCCGCAACGAGCGCAACCCUUAUCCUUUGUUGCCAGCGGUCCGGCCGGGAACUCAAAGGAGACUGCCAGUGAUAAACUGGAGGAAGGUGGGGAUGACGUCAAGUCAUCAUGGCCCUUACGACCAGGGCUACACACGUGCUACAAUGGCGCAUACAAAGAGAAGCGACCUCGCGAGAGCAAGCGGACCUCAUAAAGUGCGUCGUAGUCCGGAUUGGAGUCUGCAACUCGACUCCAUGAAGUCGGAAUCGCUAGUAAUCGUGGAUCAGAAUGCCACGGUGAAUACGUUCCCGGGCCUUGUACACACCGCCCGUCACACCAUGGGAGUGGGUUGCAAAAGAAGUAGGUAGCUUAACCUUCGGGAGGGCGCUUACCACUUUGUGAUUCAUGACUGGGGUGAAGUCGUAACAAGGUAACCGUAGGGGAACCUGCGGUUGGAUCACCUCCUUACCUUAAAGAAGC